rnacentral:rRNA from 1 species
UACGUAGGUGGCAAGCGUUGUCCGGAAUUAUUGGGCGUAAAGAGCUCGUAGGCGGUCUGUCGCGUCGGUCGUGAAAACUUGGGGCUUAACCCUGAGCUUGCGGUCGAUACGGGCAUGACUGGAGUUCGGCAGGGGAGACUGGAAUUCCUGGUGUAGCGGUGAAAUGCGCAGAUAUCAGGAGGAACACCGGUGGCGAAGGCGGGUCUCUGGGCCGAUACUGACGCUGAGGGGCGAAAGCGUGGGGAGCAAACAGG